UACGGGGGGGGCAAGCGUGGUUCGGAAUUACUGGGCGUAAAGGGCUCGUAGGCGGCCAACUAAGUCCGACGUGAAAUCCCCAGGCUUAACCUGGGAACUGCGUCGGAUACUGGAUGGCUUGAAUUCGGGAGAGGGAUGCAGAAUUCCAGGUGUAGCGGUGAAAUGCGUAGAUAUCUGGAGGAAUACCGGUGGCGAAGGCGGCAUCCUGGACCGACAUUGACGCUGAUGAGCGAAAGCUAGGGGAGCAAACGGG
rnacentral:rRNA from 1 species